rnacentral:tRNA from 1 species
ACCAUGGUGGUGCAGUGGUCAGCACACCCGAUCUGGUAACCUAAACCCUAGUCCGCUUACCUAAGUCCCUAAACUCGCUUACCUAAGUUCCUAAAACUCUCUCAAAGAUCGGGAGGUCGCAGGUUCGAUUCCUGCCCAUGGUG